AUUGAACGCUGGCGGCAGGCUUAACACAUGCAAGUCGAGCGGAGAUGAGGUGCUUGCACCUUAUCUUAGCGGCAGACGGGUGAGUAAUGCUUAGGAAUCUGCCUAUUAGUGGGGGACAACAUUCCGAAAGGAAUGCUAAUACCGCAUACGUCCUACGGGAGAAAGCAGGGGAUCUUCGGACCUUGCGCUAAUAGAUGAGCCUAAGUCGGAUUAGCUAGUUGGUGGGGUAAAGGCCUACCAAGGCGACGAUCUGUAGCGGGUCUGAGAGGAUGAUCCGCCACACUGGGACUGAGACACGGCCCAGACUCCUACGGGAGGCAGCAGUGGGGAAUAUUGGACAAUGGGCGGAAGCCUGAUCCAGCCAUGCCGCGUGUGUGAAGAAGGCCUUUUGGUUGUAAAGCACUUUAAGCGAGGAGGAGGCUACCUGGAUUAAUACUCUAGGAUAGUGGACGUUACUCGCAGAAUAAGCACCGGCUAACUCUGUGCCAGCAGCCGCCGUAAUAC
rnacentral:rRNA from 1 species